rnacentral:tRNA from 1 species
AUAAAAUUUUUAUUAGAA